rnacentral:rRNA from 1 species
CCUACGGGAGGCAGCAGUGGGGAAUAUUGCACAAUGGGCGAAAGCCUGAUGCAGCAACGCCGCGUGAAGGAAGACGGUUUUCGGAUUGUAAACUUCUGUUCUUAGUGAAGAAUAAUGACGGUAACUAAGGAGCAAGCCACGGCUAACUACGUGCCAGCAGCCGCGGUAAUGCGUAGGUGGCAAGCGUUGUCCGGAAUUACUGGGUGUAAAGGGAGCGUAGGCGGGAAGCCAAGUCAGCUGUGAAAACUACGGGCUUAACCUGUAGACUGCAGUUGAAACUGGCUUUCUUGAGUGAAGUAGAGGUUGGCGGAAUUCCGAGUGUAGCGGUGAAAUGCGUAGAUAUUCGGAGGAACACCGGUGGCGAAGGCAGCAUACCGGCGCCCUACUGACGCUGAGGCACGAAAGUGCGGGUAUCGAACAGGAUUAGAUACCCGGGUAGUC